rnacentral:rRNA from 1 species
UGCGUAGGCGGACUAAUAAGUCAGUGGUGAAAUCUUUCGGCUCAACCGGGAAACUGCCAUUGAUACUGUUAGUCUUGAGUUCGGUUGAGGUAGGCGGAAUGUGUAAUGUAGCGGUGAAAUGCUUAGAUAUUACACAGAACACCAAUUGCGUAGGCAGCUUACUAGACCGACACUGACGCUGAGGCACGAAAGCGUGGGGAGCGAACAGGAUUAGAUACCCUGGUAUCC